GAUGAACGCUGGCGGCGUGCCUAAUACAUGCAAGUCGAGCGAACAGAUAAGGAGCUUGCUCCUUUGACGUUAGCGGCGGACGGGUGAGUAACACGUGGAUAACCUACCUAUAAGACUGGGAUAACUUCGGGAAACCGGAGCUAAUACCGGAUAACAUAUUGAACCGCAUGGUUCAAUAGUGAAAGGCGGCUUUGCUGUCACUUAUAGAUGGAUCCGCGCCGUAUUAGCUAGUUGGUAAGGUAACGGCUUACCAAGGCAACGAUACGUAGCCGACCUGAGAGGGUGAUCGGCCACUCUGGAACUGAGACACGGUCCAGACUCCUACGGGAGGCAGCAGUAGGGAAUCUUCCGCAAUGGGCGAAAGCCUGACGGAGCAACGCCGCGUGAGUGAUGAAGGUCUUCGGAUCGUAAAACUCUGUUAUCAGGGAAGAACAAAUGUGUAAGUAACUGUGCACAUCUUGACGGUACCUGAUCAGAAAGCCACGGCUAACUACGUG
rnacentral:rRNA from 1 species